rnacentral:rRNA from 1 species
CGGAAUCACUGGGCGUAAAGCGCACGUAGGCGGCUUUCUAAGUCAGAGGUGAAAUCCCGGAGCUCAACUCCGGAACUGCCUUUGAUACUGGAGAGCUUGAGUUCGGGAGAGGUGAGUGGAACUGCGAGUGUAGAGGUGAAAUUCGUAGAUAUUCGCAAGAACACCAGUGGCGAAGGCGGCUCACUGGCCCGAUACUGACGCUGAGGUGCGAAAGCGUGGGGAGCAAACAGG